UAAUGAUAAUAAUAUCAAUAAUAUGCUAAUAAAUAUUAAAAAUAAUGGGGGGGGGGGGGGGUUGGUGAUACCUUCUACUAGUAUGUCCAAACUAUGCAGAAUAUGUGAAAGUUCAUUUAGAACUUAUCAAAAUGAAAUCACACAUAAAAAUAUUUUAAAAAAAAUUGAAGUAUUAAUUUUUUCCAAAAUAAUAGGCACAAAUCUCUUUAUUGAUCUGAUCAUAUCAUUGAACAUGAAAUUGGGUACAGCCAUUUUCAAAUUUUUGUAAAAUUAAUUGUUCAAAAAUAUUUAAAUAUUAGAUUUUAUCAUUUUGCUUACUUAAGAAACCAGGAAUUGAGAACUGGUAUGCGACAGAAUCUUACGAAAGCAAUACAAUUUAAUAAUCAAUAAGUCAUCAUAUAUAAUAAUAUAUAUAUCUUCUUUUAUAUUUUAAAAAUUAUAUUGUAUAAGGAAUGACCAUAUAUUAGGCAUAUUAUAAAAAUUAUGAUCUUAUAUAUUAUCUAUGCUAAUUAAUUAU